rnacentral:rRNA from 1 species
AGGAACGCGAAGAACCUUACCAGGUCUUGACAUCUUUUGAUCACCUGAGAGAUCAGGUUUCCCCUUCGGGGGCAAAAUGACAGGUGGUGCAUGGUUGUCGUCAGCUCGUGUCGUGAGAUGUUGGGUUAAGUCCCGCAACGAGCGCAACCCUUAUGACUAGUUGCCAGCAUUUAGUUGGGCACUCUAGUAAGACUGCCGGUGACAAACCGGAGGAAGGUGGGGAUGACGUCAAAUCAUCAUGCCCCUUAUGACCUGGGCUACACACGUGCUACAAUGGAUGGUACAACGAGUUGCGAGACCGCGAGGUCAAGCUAAUCUCUUAAAGCCAUUCUCAGUUCGGACUGUAGGCUGCAACUCCCCUACACGAAGUCGGAAUCGCUAGUAAUCGCGGAUC